CAGUGGUUCUGGGAGGUGGUGAACAGCCUGACACAGGAGGAACGAGUUCUUCUACUUCAGUUUGUUACUGGAAGUUCCAGGGUUCCUCAUGGGGGCUUUGCCUACCUGAUGGGAGGCAGUGGUUUACAGAAGUUCACCGUUGCUGCAGUGCCAUACACCUCCAACCUACUGCCUACCUCUAGUACCUGCAUCAACAUGCUGAAACUCCCAGAAUACCCGAGCCAGGAGGUCUUGAGAGACCGGCUGCUGGUAGCGCUGCACUGUGGGAGCUAUGGCUACACCAUGGCGUAAACAUCCCAUCAGUUCCUGCUGCUGGCAGGGUCUGCAGACUCAUGCAACACUCCUUCACAGACACUCUUUUUGUAGUCAGCCGCUACUUUUGCUGGACAAAAAAGGGAAAUACAGAUUGUUAUUAAAGAGCUGCUGAAGAGGCACACAGACUGAUGGAGACCACAGGCUCUGGAUCUCCACACCUGUGCCACAACUUCUAUUUUUUCAAUUCAAGCUGGUCAUUUAUGCAGAGAAUAAUUCAGUAUCUUCUAAACUGGACUAUUUUUCAUAUAUACAUUUAUUUAAGAAAAAACUGCAUUUAUACCCCUUCAAACACAGGUAAUAAUCACAUAUUCAUGCAUGCUUACUGAAUGUCAAAUAUUUGUUUUGUUUACAGAGCUUUCCAUAUGGAACCAGUGUAGAAUUAAUCAGUUUCAAACAUGGAAUCAAUCAAAAUGCAUCAUAUUCAUAUCCUAGCUUCACAGUGCAGGUUUCUUUAAUGGACCAGCAUCAGGCUCACGCAUACUGCUAAGUCUACAGUUUGUUUUGACUAAUUUUAAGACUUUUAUUUUUGUUUUUUGCAUCCCUCUCACAGUUUUAACAGUCCUUGUCUUUUAGGCUAGCAGCUCUUCUCCUCUACCAAAAGCACUUACUGUCCGGGCUGGCAUUAUCAAAGGUUUAAGAUGCCAAGCUGCCAAUGUGAUAGCUGAUUUUAGUUUUUUGAUACUUUAUUGCACUGUGAAGAAACCAAAAACCUUUAUUUUGUUUAACAAAAUAAGCCAAACGUAAGAAAAUCCAGUAAAAACCAAUGCACUGAAUGGCCAAAAGUGUGUGGACAGCAUAACAUUCACGCCAUGCAUCGUAGUUGAUUUUAUCAUUCCACAACCAGAGGCGUUCAUGUGCUGCUGUAACAGCCUUCACCCCAUCUCUCUCAGGCUGAAGGAAUUUGCUCCCAUUCAGGAGCAUCAGUGAGGUCCAGCACUGAUGUUAGCUGAUCAUGCCUGGCUCUCAGUCGGCAUUCAAGUUCAUCCUAAAGGUGCUGAUGGAGUUGAGGUUAGAGCUCUGUGCAGGCCAGUCAGGUUCUGAGAAAACCAUUUCUUCAUCAGGCUGGCUUAGUACAUAUUGAAACAGGACAGGGCCACACAUAACUGUUGGAAAAGUUGGAAGAAUACUACCAUCUAUCAUUGUAUGCUGUAGUAUUAGCAUUUACCGUUAUUGGAACUAAGGGGGCCCUAACCGAGAGAAACAAACCCAGGCCAAAAUGCAUGUAGUAUGUGGACGGAAGUGUUCCAAUGGCUGCAUCCAAUGAUUAUUUCAUUUUUGAUUAAUCUAUUGUUUAUUUUCUCAAUUAAUGUAUUAGUUGUUUGGUUUAUUAAACGCUGAAAAAUGUUGAUCAGUGUUUCCCAAAGCCCAGCCUGACUUCCUCAGAUUGUUUAGGUCACAACCUAGAGAUAUUCAGUUAACUGUCACAGAGGAGGAAAGAAACCAGAAAAUACUGAAUUUGUAUAUUAUUGGUAUCAGCCAGUAUUGACUUUAGAAUGAACUAUCAGAAUUAGCCAACAUGCUUUUUCUUACUUUGCACAAUGAAUGAAUAUUGCAUACAUUGAAAAGCAUUCUAUUUCACGUCUCCAUCUCCUGGUGGGCCUUCAGGAUUAUGCAUAAUGUGAUGCUAACUUCACUACAGAAGAGACUUGAUUAUCACUAAAAUUAGAUGGGGAAAAAAGUGGAUAUAUAGAUAUCGCUUAUCGUUCAAAUGAGUUGCUGUGUAUCGGCAUAUUGAAUAUCGGCAAAAAAUCCUGUAUUGUGCAUCCUUAAAAAUUACUCAAGCCAAUUAAGGACAUGCUUUUCUUAUUUUGCACAAUAAAUAAAUAUUACAUACAUGGAAAGGCAUUCUAUUUCAUGUCUUCAUCUGAUGGUGAGCCAUCACAAUAAGAGUAUGCAUGUAUAAUAUGAUAUUAAUUCCACGGUAGGAGAGACUUGAUCACUAAAAUUAGGUGGGGAAAAAAGUGGAUAUAUAGAUAUCAUUUUUGCUUAUGGGUCAAAUGAGUUGUUAUAUAUUGGCAUAUCGGAUAUCAGCAAAAAAUCCUCCCUGACUAAUGAUGUCAGUCGGUAAAAAAAUAACACUGGCCAGUACCAAUACAGUCAGUGCUUUCAUUGCAGGAAAACAAAAACUAUUUUUUAUUUUUUUUACCAAGUGAGUACACAUAUUAGAAUGAACAUCAAGGAUAAAUAUUAACUAAUUUCUCUGCAAAAAAUAAGCUGAGUGAAUCAAAGACUGGCCUUAUCCAGCUGUGACAGAACAUGUAUUUGCAGAAGAGAAACUGUAGGUGUUUGACGUACUGUAUGGUCAAGGUGUUUUCCAUUGUAGCUGCAUGAGCACACCCCUCCAUCCCUGCAGCAUCAAAUGCACGUGGUCUACUGUGUGAAACUCUUUUUCGUUUUUGAAGUAUUUUGCUGUCAUCUUUCUUUGUGCUUAAUGAAUGCAUAGCAAUCUUCUUUAGUGAUCUGUCUGUGUUUGUCCCUAUUAAGUAGACUUUCUCAAGAAGCAAUACAAUAACUCCACAUGACAAAUGUUUGGCUUGCAGUGCCAAAACCUCAAAGCUGAAAUCCUUUUAAAGACUUUCUCUUAUUUGUAUUUUUGCCUAAACAAACAUGCUGAAAUGUAUUUUUAUUCUGAGAGAUGGGAUCAUGCCAUGAGGUUUUACUUGUUUCCUCGUGUAAAGGGAGUGAACAUGUUGAUUUAAUAUUUCAUAUGAUCUUUCAGUAUUGUUUUGAACGCCUUGCCUGAAAUGUAAACUGCUGUUAAUGUUUAAUAUGGAGCCUUUAUAGAUAUUUCUGUAUGUCUUCAGUAUCAAAUGAUGUAUUUUACAAUGAAUACUGUAUAUGUUGUGCUUUGAGAUAUUAUCCAAUAAAACUUGUUUUGACAAUC